rnacentral:rRNA from 1 species
UACGAGAGGCCCAAACGUUAUUCGGAAUUACUGGGCUUAAAGAGUUCGUAGGCGGCAUGAAAAGUAGGGUGUGAAAGCCCUCGGCUCAACCGAGGAAUUGCGCUCUAAACUGUCGUGCUAGAGGAAGCUAGAGGUGAGCGGAACUGAUGGUGGAGCGGUGAAAUGCAUUGAUAUCAUCAGGAACACCGGAGGCGAAGGCGGCUCACUGGGGCUUUUCUGACGCUGAGGAACGAAAGCCAGGGUAGCGAACGGG